AAGUCGUAACAAGGUCUCCGUAGGUGAACCUGCGGAGGGAUCAUUACAAGUGACCCCGGUUUACCACCGGGAUGUUCAUAACCCUUUGUUGUCCGACUCUGUUGCCUCCGGGGCGACCCUGCCUUCGGGCGGGGGCUCCGGGUGGACACUUCAAACUCUUGCGUAACUUUGCAGUCUGAGUAAAUUUAAUUAAUAAAUUAAAACUUUCAACAACGGAUCUCUUGGUUCUGGCAUCGAUGAAGAACGCAGCGAAAUGCGAUAAGUAAUGGUGAAUUGCAGGAAUUCAGUGAAAUCAUCGAAUCUUUGAACGCACAUUGCGGCCCUGGUAUUCCGGGGGGCAUGCCUGUUCGAGCGUCAUUUCAACCACUCAAGCGCGCUCGCUUGGUAUUGGGCAACGCGGUCCGCCGCGUGCCUCAAAUCGACCGGCUGGGUUCUUCUGUCCCCUAAGCGUUGUGGAAACUAUUCGCUAAAGGUGGUUCGGGAGGCUACGCCGUAAAACAACCCAUUUCUAAGGUUGACCUGCGGAUCAGGUAGGGAUACCCGCUGAACUUAA
rnacentral:rRNA from 1 species